CGCCGGCGCCACUACUGGGCAUGCGCAGUGUACAGGGGUGGCCAGUCCGGGGGGGAUGGGGGAGGAGCCGGGGACAAGUGGGCGGGACCGGGAGGCUGAGUGAAGCGGGCCCAGAGGAGGUCCAGACUGCGAGUGGAGGAAGAGUGAGAGUGUCUUGCUCUGACGCCCAGGAUGGAGUGCAGUGAGUGGUGUGAUCUCAGCUCACCGCAACCUCCGCCUCCAGGUUCAAGCAAUUCUCUUGUCUCAAGCCUCCUGAAUACAUGGAAUUACAGAAACUCCCAAACAAGGACUGGGUCCUGGUGGCAGCAGCAGACUCGGAGUGUGGCUGGCUUAGCUGAGAGAAGAUGAAUCAUUUUAGGAAGAUGGUAAGAGUCCCAGGAUAUUUGGAUGGUUGAUUUGAAUUCUUAUCUGCUUGAGGAGACAUUGCAUCAUAAAAAGGUUCAGCCUCAACCUUUCGUAGAGAAAAGAGUUUUUGCAUCUAGUUACCAAGAGUUGCUGGAGCAACACAGACAAAGACUUUUACUUAACCUCAGCCAUCGUACGCCUGCUAAAGAAGUCAGCCUGGAACCGGUGUAGAAUAGCAAUGGGGAGUUAAGGUAACUUGCGGUAGUACAGUUUGGUUUUUUUUUUCCUCCUUACACGAGCAGAACGUUUUAGUUGGGAGAAAGAGAUUCUGGAUUCAAGAGAGGCUGACAGGAUUUUCCUUAAAAUAAACCCAGAGAGAAAUAGAUCCCUUAGAAGCUGUGCCACUCUGCCUACGAUAAGAAUGCCUGUAGGGGUGAGUAUACUUUAUAUACGCCAUAAAGUAUAUAAAUCUAUAGAAAUAUCAUGAAAUAUCUUCCUGGAAGUCAAUUAAUUAAUUGAAUAAUUUUAAGAAAACAUUUCUUAAUGUGAAGCAGCAAAUUAUGAAAUAGAAGGCACGAUUUAUACCAAUAUUUACAAUAAAGACCUCAAAGGAAUUUCAUGUUGCCACAAACUAUAGAGGUUCACCCUCCUCUGCUCCAAGAAUGGGAAGAAAGCUUCAGGAAGCACUGGUGAAAGGCAAGCAAAUAACAGCUUACUUUCUUUUCCCAGAUUCUUCCUUCUAUGGAGCAUCACAAAUGACUGAGGUUUUCUAGAUGGUUACUUCUUUUUUUAAAAAAAAAUUAUUUCUAUAAAUUAGGGGAUACACGUGCGGUUUCUUUCUUUUUUCUGUUAAAUUCUUUUUGUGGGGAGACAGGGUCUUUCUUUCUCACUCAGGCUGGAGUACGGGUGGCAUGAUCACAGCUCACUACAGUGUCAACCUCCUGGGCUCAAGCAAUCCUCCCACCUUAGCCUUCUGAGGAGCUGGGACCACAGGUGCGAGCCACCACGCCAGGCUAAUAUUUUUUUAUCUUUUAUUGAGACAAAGUCUUACGAUGUUACCCAGGCUGGUCUUGGGUUAUGGGACUCAAGCAAUCCUCCAGCCUCAGCCUCGUAAAAUGCUAGGAUUACAGAAGUAAGCCACCAUGAAGGCUAGUGUAUCGUUACUUGUGUAAUAUACAACAUAUUAUUUUUGCAUGCAAUAUUAUCAAAUGAAAGUCCUUAUAUUUGUAAAUAUCUCUUGACAUUUAAGCCCCAUGUGGAAAACAUAUCUGCCGAGCAAGUUAGUUUAUUUGCUUAUUUAAGUGUAUGUUUUGCAGCUGGAUUAUGCUAAAAGGUUAUGUUACGUCCCAAGAGUCCUACUGAGAUGUUUUAUGGCUCAGAUGAACAUUUGGUUAUCUUGUUUUACAUUUUUUCUAAGCUAAAAUUUUUAUGACUAUUAAGCUAUAGCAGAACCAUUUGGCAUCAAGGUUGUCUAGUGAAGUGUGGACUUUCGGUGUGCCUGUUAAAAACCACUUGGCAUCAUGGUUGUCUAGUGAAGUGCGGACUUUCGGUGUGCCUGUUAAAAACCACUUGGCAUCAUGGUUGUCUAGUGAAGUGCGGACUUUCGGUGUGCCUGUUAAAAACCACUUGGCAUCAUGGUUGUCUAGUGAAGUGCGGACUUUCGGUGUGCCUGUUAAAAACCACUUGGCAUCAUGGUUGUCUAGUGAAGUGCGGACUUUCGGUGUGCCUGUUAAAAACCACUUGGCAUCAUGGUUGUCUAGGGAAGUGUGGACUUUUGGUGUACCUGUUAAGAACCAUUUGGCAUCAUGGUUGUCUAGUGAAGUGUGGACUUUCGGUGUGCCUGUUAAAAACCAUUUGGCAUCAUGGUUGUCUAGGGAAGUGUGGACUUUUGGUGUACCUGUUAAGAACCAUUUGGCAUCAUGGUUGUCUAGUGAAGUGUGGACUUUCGGUGUGCCUGUUAAGAACCAUUUGGCAUCAUGGUUGUCUAGUGAAGUGUGGACUUUCGGUGUGCUUGUUAUCCAAAUAGUUUACAUUUCACCCAUUAAGUAAUUUUUCAUUCCUCAGACCCUCCCACCCUUUCUAGUCUUCAAUGUCUGUUAUUCCACAUUCUGUGUUCAUGUGUAUAUAUGAUUUAGCUCCCAUUUGUAAGAGAGAACAUGUGGUAUUUGGCUUCCUGUUUCUGAAUUAUUGGAAUUAGAGGCCAUCAUCUUAAGUGAAAUAACUCGGAAACAGAAGGUCAAAUAGAUCUAAAUGAUAACCUGGAGUGUGUUCUAUGAACUGGUCUAUCUUGCAGCAUUGAAUUGUAGUGUGUGUGUACUCUUCACAACUUAUCCUGAACUUUUCUCUCCAGAGUGGCUCCUACAUAUCUGUCAUUCAUCUUCUGUUAGAGCCAAGCCAAACUGUUCAGUGACCUCUGAGUAACCUUGGUGUGUCCUCCAGGGCUGCCCAUCUCUUCAUGUCAAAAUCUAGCUUGUUCUCAGGUCCUGCUCAGAUGCCAUCUACUUCCUGAGGCCUUUCCAGACUCUCCAAGCAAGUGCUCUUUCUGUCUGAGUGCCCAUACCUUUUUACAAAAAUUAUUAUACUCUAAGUUCUGGGGUACAUGUGCAGAUCAUGCAGGUUUGUUACAUAGAUAUACACGUGUCAUGGUGGUUUGCUGCAUCUAUCCCACUGUCAUCUAUAUUAGGUAUUUCUCCUAAUGUUAUUCCUCCCCAAUUUCCCCAACCCCCGACAGACCCUGGUGUGUGAUGUUCCCCUCCCUGUGUCCAUGUGUUCUCAUUGUUCAACACCCACUUAUGAGUGAGAAUAUGUGGUGUUUGGUUUUCUGUUCUUGUGUCAAUUUGCUAAGAAUGAUGGUUUCCAGCUUCAUCCAUGUCCUUGCAAAGGACAUGAACUCUUCCUUUUUUAUGGCUGCUUAGUAUUCCAUGAUGUAUAUGUGCCACAUUUUCUUUAUCCAGUCUGUCACUGAUGGGCACUUGGGUUGAUUCUAAGUCUUUGCUAUUGUAAACAGUGCCACAAUAAACAUAAGUGUGCAUGUGUCUUUAUAAUUGAAUGUUUUAUAAUCCUUUGGGUAUAUACCCAGUAAUGGGAUUGCUGGGUCAAAUGGUAUUUUUAGUUCUAGAUCCUUGAGGAAUUGCCACACUGUCUUCCACAAUGGUUGAACUAAUUUACACUCCCACCAACAAUGUAAAAGCGUUCCUAUUACUCCACAUCCUCUCCAGCUUCUGUUGUCUCCAGAUGUUUUAAUGAUUGCCAUUCUAACUGGUGUGAGAUGGUAUCUCAAUGUGGUUUUGAUUUGCAUUUCUCUAAUGACCAGUGGUGAUGAGCUUCUUUUGUUGGCUGCAUAAAUGCCUUCUUUUGAAAAAUGCCUGUUCAUAUCCUUUGCCCUCUUUUUGAUGUUUUUUUUUUUCUUGUAAAUUUGUUAUAAAUUCUUUGUAGAUUCUGGUUACACCUUUUAUCUCUUUACUUCUUCCUAGGGUAUUGUCUUGGGUUAGGUUUCUGGGAAAGCAGACUCUAAGAGGCAGGUUGGUGUGUAGGAAGUCUAGUGGGUGUGUUCUUUGGGAUUGAUGACUAAAGAAGGGAAGGAAGCAAGACUGGGCAGAGGGAGAAGUUGGGCGGGGAUACAGUCCAAAGGAAAACCACAGUUGACCAAAAGGGGAACUCUGGAAUGAGGAUGACCUUCACAGUUGUUCCAAGUUAAGGUGAAGAGGUUGUGCCUUUACCCCUUUGCGUAGAGUGGUUGUUGUCUCUGGCUGCCUGGGAAUGAGCUUGCUGGAUUUAGCAAAUAAAAUAUACAUUGUCCAAUUACAUUCGAUUCUCAGAUCAGCAAUGAAUAAUAUAUUAGUAUAAAUGUGUUCCAUGCAAUAUUUUGGAUAUACUCUAAUUUGUUGUUGAUCAGACAUUUAAAUUUGAAUUAACUGUAUUUUAUUUAGCAACACUACACAGGAAGGAGCAUGGCCAUGGCCCAAGUAAUUCUCUUCAGGAGGGUCAAUCCCCAGAGGCUAGCAGAGGAGAGUUGAAAGAGGGCAGCAUGCCUAGCGGUUGGGGGAUGCAAGUUUUUGGUCUUGACAGGGGAUCUGUGCUAUGCAGCACAUUUCCCCUAGGCACACAUCCCUGCCCAGUUUACAUUGUCAUUAGUUGUCAAUGUGAUAGUCAGGUUGGUGUACGUGGGCUUUUAGGAAUUGAAUACUAAUAUUUGGUGGGAAUAAAACAAGGAGGUUUAGGCCAGGCACAGUGGCUCAUGCCUAUAAUCCCAGCACUGUGGGAGGCCGAGGUGGGUGGAUCACCUGGGGUCAGGAGUUAGAGACCAGUCUGGCCAAAAUAGUGAAACCCUGUCUCUACUCAAAAUGUAAAAAUUAGCUGAGCCAUGGUGGUGAGUGCCUGUAAUCCCAGGUACUUGGGAGACUGAUGCAGAAGAAUCACUUGAACCUGGGAGGUGGAGGUUGCAGUGAGCUGAGAGUGCACCACUGUACUUCCACCUGGGCGACAAGAGCGAAACUCCUCAAAAACCCAAAACAAACAAACAAAAACCAACCAACCAAACAAACAAAAAACCAUGGAGGUUUAGUGGUUACUCUUCCUCAUUUUAAAAAAGAAAAGUACCAGUUCAAGAUGAGCUAGGUGAAUGGCCUCCAGUUCCCCAGUUCCCAAGGGAAAAAAAAAGAUAUUCUCCUAUACACCAAAUAUUUUUUUUUGUCAGUAACCAGAACUGACCAGAAUUGACAACUGGUUCAGUUAUGUAAUAGUUUCACAAAGAGUAGAUACAGAGCAAUUAUUAUGAAAUGAAAGUUCUUAUAUUUGUAAAUAUCUCUUGACCUUUAAGCCCCUUGUGGAAAAUGCAUCUACCCAGCAAGUUAGCUUACUUGCUUAUUUAAGUGUAUGUUUUGCAGCUGGAAUAUACUAAAAGGUUGUGAUACCUUGUGAGAGUCUUAUUAAGAUGUUUUAUGGCUCAGAUGAACAUUUGGCUAUCCUGCUUUACAUUUUUUUCUAAACUAAAAUUUUUACGGCUGUUAAACUAUAGCAGAAACAUUUGGUGUCGUGGUUGUCUGAUUGCCUUUAUGUUAACAUGAACGAAAAAUCUUGUUCAGAGAUCUUGGCUCUGGCUGGGGGUUGUCACUUGGCCUGUCUCUGCAGGGAGGUGACAAACUGAUUUUCAGGCAUUUGCCAUUUUUUGGUCUCUUCUGAUUUUAGGUGAGCCAAAUCAUACAGCUGUGCACUUCACAGGAAUAGAGAAUACCUGCUUUCCAAAUGCUUUUAGGGAAUAUAACCCCAGUUUGUGGCUUUAUCAUAAUGAUCAAAUCCAUAUAAAUGAAAGAUUGUUCAAAAAUUUGCAGUUUAUGCGUUCCUUCAGAUAUUAUGAAGUCUCUGUCUUGAGUGCUGAAAGCUAUAUUCUUAUAUCACAUUGUUUUGACUUUCAUAGUCUUGCUUUUGGUAAAUUCUAUUUUAACUUUAUCCUUUGUUUACCUCAGAGAAUAUUAUACAAAAGAAUUCUGUGAAUCCUACCAGUAAUGAUAUAAUAAUAAUGCUGAUAAUUUAUGAAUUCAUUAUUCAAUACAUAGAUAUUGAACAAUUUCUACAUGCCAGAUAAUCUUCUAAACUGGAAUACCAAUGAAUGAGAUAGACAAGAAUCUCUGCGUUUAUUUGACUUAUUUUUAAGUUAGUGGGGAGAAAGAUUACAAAAAGGGAAAGAAAAUGUGAGUUGCUGGUAAGUGCUACAGGAAGAAAUAAAGCAAGAGAGGGAGUUGGGUGUUGCAAUUUUAAAUAGGCUCACCAGUGAAGGUGUCCUGAUGAUACCCGGCAUGACACACAUUAUUUCGCUUAGUAUUUUACAUGAGGAUGUUCAUUAUUUUAUCCUGUGAAGUGUUCACUAUGUUACAAGCUGCCUUCUUUAUGAGGACUCGUGGGAGAACUUGCGCUUUGAUGUUAGAACUGGCAGUCGUCGGGCUUCUCUUGAGUGACUGGUUUGUUUUUAUCUUCUAGGCACCAAGAAUCAUGUAACAGAUCAUGGUCACCUCUUUGUUGAGAUUAAAAGGAAACUUAAAACUUUGGCAUGAACUUGGAGUACUGACUUUACUCUUGGCUUCACCUUACCUUUUCUACCUUAUUUUAGCCUUUGUCCCAAUUGACUCACCUACUUAUUUUACGUUUUAUUUUAUGCUGUGUUGUUAUAUUUACUUUGGUAACCUUCCUUAUUUUUUAAACAAAGUAAGGCAUAAAUAGAAAUAAAUACCCACAUAAUUAUAUGCACAUACUAUACAUACAUAUAUACGUAAGUCAUCAUAUGAAGAUAUAGUACAUCUUCCUUAUUUCAGUGUGCCUUGAACCUGGAGUUCUUAUCUGAAAAAGUUUUUUAUGCUUCACAGAGUGUUCCUUUAUAGGUGCUCAAUACAUAUUUAUGGAAUAACAGUUUUAGUAGUAGUUAUAAUUUAAAUGAGAAAGAUAUUCAUGAGUAUCUUAAGAGUUUGAAUAUCAAGCAAAUGAAAUAUUGCUGAGGUUUAGUUUUCAAAAUCAUUAUAUGUAAAAUACAAGCUCUUUAAUAUAAAGGUGUGAGGAAAUCUGAAAUAUAAUUAAUGUGUAAUUAUGACUCUUCUAAACCUCUUUCUAAAAGUUUUCAAUGACUAGGUUUUAAUAACUCUGGCUGACAGUCCUUUGAAACCUAUUACCCUCCAGAGAAAUUUGUUUGCACACAAAAAUUGCAUGCAGUAUUAAAGGAGUUAGGGACACACCAAAGCUCCUCCAUCAACCAACCCCAGGUUAUGAACCCCCGCUAUAUGUUUCUCUUUUUAAAUAAUAUAUGCUCUUAAAAUUUUAAUAGUCAAAAGAAAAAACAAAGCAGAAAAAUACCUAUAACCCCAGCACCAUGGGGCAGCUAUUUUUGAUCCUUUUAUUUUCAUUAAAAAAAUUGUUGCAUUUACAUUAUUGAUAUGAUUUUAUAUCCAAAAAUUUUUGCAUUACAAUAUACAGUAAGUAGUUCCCAAUGAAAUAAAAAAUUCUUCAUAAAACAUCCUUUUAAAUGUUUGUAUAGUAUUUCAGUGUAUAAAUAUACUAUAAUGCACUUAAACAUUUUCUAAUGUCUGUUUGGGUCUUCCCUUACCCUUCCAUUAUUUGCCACAAAGUUGCUAUGAACAUCUUAGAGCCAGAUCUUUGUUAAUAUAUUAAGAAAUUUCCUAGGAUUACCUAGAAGAAUU